AGAAAAAGGCAAACUAAUUGAAAAAUUAGGGCGCAAAGUCACAGAUCUAAGGGAAGGUUGAUGACCCUUCUAGGAUGGCUGGAUUGCC
rnacentral:ncRNA from 1 species